GAAAACUGGGCUAUGAGUGUUCGCACCGAAGCCACCACCGCUGAAAAUUAUUUGCAUCUGUAUUAUAAUUAUGCUUUUUAGUGUGAAGCAACUGAGACCAAGUCACUUUUUAUUUCUAUGACGAUUUCUCCUUUUCAUUCAGGUCCUCGGUUGCCUAAUGACUUGCACAUCGAGGAGGUCCCGAAAAGUAAAAAGGAUCAUUUAUCAAAUUUUUUGCAAACUCAAGGUGGGAUGCCAUGGGAUCUCGCUAGAAAACUUCAUUUGAGACCAAGUGACGUGAAUAACCUUCGAAAAGGCACUAACAUCCUGGAUGUUAUCGUCAUGCGACAUGACUUGAGAACAGUGGGUGAGCUGUAUGACUUUCUAUGUGACCAUGGGCAGCCUCGGGCUGCCGACAAACUUUAAAUGCCUCAAUACUACCCGUCGACUUGGAUAUCUCGAUCUCAAGUCUUCUUGUCUACGGCAACGGCAAAAAGUUAAAAAGGAAUCUGAUUUUGACCAGCUUUCUUUUAGUGAUAAUCAAACAAAAGCAAAAGAACCCUCUCUCUCACGACUCUAAUGUAGUAAUUGCUGAAAACUGCCGGCAAGAAGUUCAAUUUUUGCCGUCUGCCGUAAGUCAUUCUUAACCUUCCCACAAUGUAAAUUUGCUUAUAUCUAAAUUUCGUUGAAAUUGAAAUGUGUCGUGAAAAACGGUUUUUAAGGUUCAGCUGAAGGGUGUCUUACAUUCAUUUGAAGCGGACACCCCGCAUUGUAAAAAUAAUCUGAAGGAAUUAAAAAGUACCUUUUAAACGAUA